rnacentral:rRNA from 1 species
AUUGAACGCUGGCGGCAGGCCUAACACAUGCAAGUCGAAAGAGUGGCGGACGGGUGAGUAAUGUCUGGGAAACUGCAUGAUGGCGGGGGGUACCUAAUGGAAACGGUAGCUAAUAACGCAUAACAUCAGAGGUGCCCAGAUGGGAGUAGCUGGUUGGCGGGGUAACGGCUCACCAAGGCGACGAUCCCUCGCUGGUCUGAGCGGAUUACCAGCCCAACUGGAACGCAGACACGGUCCAGACUCCUACGGGAGUCAGCAGUGGGGAAUAUUGCACAAUGGGCGCAAGCCUGAUGCAGCCAUGCCGCGUGUAUGAAGAAGGCCUUCUGGUUGUAAAGUACUGUCAGCGGGGAGGCGUUACCCGCAGAAGAAGCACCGGCUAACUCCGUGCCAGCAGCCGCGUUAAUAC